rnacentral:lncRNA from 10 species
CAAGGAAUGAGGUCAGGGUGGGGAAGCUGAGUUGGGUGUGCAGGAGGGCUGAGUCAGGGUAGGGGAGCUAAGUCGGGGGUACAGAUGUCUUGACCGCAUCUUGGAGAUGUUUUUUGUUAGCUUUGUUAUGCGAGGUGAACGGACAUGUUAACUGCAUCCUGUAACUGCCUGGACAAACAGUUACUGGAGGGGUCAGUGAAGUGGGGUUUGUCUUUAGCCCUGGGGGAGCUGUGCGGAGGUCACAAAGGACUGCAUUGAUUUUGUUAUCUAUUUGGGAUCCCCAGAGAUUCCAUAUGAAUGGAUGAAGUUUUGCUCUGUCCCCAAGCUGGAAUGCAGUGGUGCAAUCUUGGUUCACUGCAACCUCUGCCUCCCAGGUUCAAGCGAUUCUCCUGUCUCAGCCUCCUGAGUAGCUGGGAUUACAGGUGCAUGCCACCAUGCCCAGCUAAUUUUUAUAUUUUUAGUAGAGACUGGGUUUCACCAUGUUGGCCAGGCUGGUCUCGAACUCCCGACCUCAGGUGAUCCGACUGCCUCAGCCUCCCAAAGUGCUGGGAUUACAAGCAUGAGCCACUGCGCCCAGACUUAAUGAUCAUUCUUUAACAGCCCUUUCUUGAUUUGUGUGUUUGUAUGUGUGUGUGUGUGUGCGUGGGUGUGAAUGUAAUGCAUGUAGUGGAGGUGUUUCUUAUAUAUUAUUUUUCCUUUUCCUUUUUUCUUAUGUCUAUUACUACUCCAUUUUAUAACAUUUAUAUUCUAUAUUAGCAAAAUUGUUAUCUCAAAUUUAAUGUUUGUAAGGUUCUUGUCACUAACCAAUCUAUCUUUAUAGUUUCUCUGUCAGCAGUUUUUUUUUAUAACAGAGUUAUUUACUUUUUUAUUCAUGCUUCUUUUCAUUCAUCAUCUUUUGGUGUGUUUCUCUCUGUAGUGGAUAUCAUGUUUGCUCAUCGUUUGAAAUGUCUUGUUAUAUAUAACAUUUGUAAGAAACAUGUUGAAAUUUUAUGCUCACAUUUUCAAGCUGCAUUUCAAGCUCUUUCUCUUGGUCUGUAAUAAUCAAUUUAUAAGGUUAUUUCAUUCACAAACUAAACUUAAAAAAUUCUGAUAUGGCAUGCUUGUUCAUUUGUAUGUCUGGAUUCUGGUCAUACUUACUCUUUAUUUUUAUUUGUACACAUAAAUUAUACUUCAUGAAUAUAUAUUUUCAUUCAUUAAGAAUAAAUAAAACAUUAAUAAAUCAGCAUUCUCUUACUUUCAAAGGACAUUGCUAUUGAUUGCCAUUAUUUAUGAAGUCACUAGACUUAGGUAGUCAGCAGUGCUUACAAAGAGGGGAACUUGAAUAGAGUUAAUAGAGUUAAAUGCUUUUUUCCAUAUGUUGUCACCUCCUCUAUUUUGUUGUAGUUUAGACAUUGUAAAUGAAAAUGUUUUCUUCUGAUAGUAAUUAAACAAAAAUUAUUUUAAAAUAUUAAUUUUUUGAGUUUGUUGGAUUAAAGUUCUUAAUCAGUUCAGUAAUUUUUAUUAUUUGGUUUUUAAAAUUAUCUUCCAUUUAAUAUGGCGUCAAAUGAAUAAUACAUACUAAGUUCUUAUUCUACAUUUAACAUGUGGCAAGGUGAAGAUGUAUAAAAGUCAAAGGUUAGAAUAAAAAAUUGACCUUUAAAC